CGCCCCGGUGCCGGGAGGGGCUGAGCGACCCGGCGUGCUGCCGCGCUGCGCUCCGGCGAGAGCCCUGGGGCAGCUGCGCCUCCUCGGCUCCCUCGGUGGAGCCGCUCGUUGAUUUACGUCGUGUGAAGGCCUUCGGAAAGCGCAGGGACUUUCUCUGUGGCCCUGCCAUUUAUCUCCAGCUUCUGCUGAGGGUCAGGCUCAAGUACAGCAGAACAGCGCCAUGGGGAUGAGACGCGUUUUCAGAAGAGGGUUUGGGGAUGACUGCACUCACGCUGGGGCUCGGCUGUCAAAAAUUUGCGUUCCAGGCCCCUCUGAGUCGAUCUGGCCCCUCGUUCCCGUGUAGAAGUUCAUCCUUUGAGCUACGCGCUUGGCCUGGAAGAACCUCGCUGCUGGCUCCUUGGGGACCCUCUGAACUGCAACGGGAGAGGAGGCCAGGGCUGCUGCGCCGGUGGUUGAGUCGGCAGGUAGCACCUACGACAGGGUCCAUCCUCCUUGGAAAGGUGCCUGGGAACGUGCUGUGCCCUUUGGAAAGCCGGGCUGGAAGCAAAUCGCCCUUGGUUGGGGCGGGGGGGAACAGUGUAGGUUUGCUGCUUGUUGUCAUCCUGACUUCCACCGCUCCGCCGGCGGCGGUUGUCUGCGGCACAACGAGUUAUUUUGAGGAGUGGGGCAGCGCCGCGGGCAUGGAGGGGAGCGGAGGCCCGGAGACGAAAGGUAAAUCUGCUGAGAUGAUCAGGAGCCGGCUUCUCGCGGGGAGCGGCGAGGGGCGGCGGGAACCCGAGCGGUGCUAGCGAUUCCCCUCGAAGGACCUGCCGAGGUCUCCUCCCCUCCAGGCUUUACUUGCAUGAGCUGGCCUUAUGCAGGCUGUCAUCCCCGUGCUGAUGGAAGGGAAACGCUGCGACGCCUCUGGGCGCGCGUCUCUCCGAAUUUCCAAGUCUCGUGCGGUGGCUGCGUGCUGGGGUGUUUUUGUCUGGGUGGGGUUUUUUUAAGUGUCAUUUUUGCCUCCCGCUGAGCCUCUUGCAUCUUGGCUUGGUGUCCCGCGUUCACCGGUGGCAGGCCCCGUCGGCAGGGACCGUCGCUCCCGCUCCGCGUCCCCCGGGGGUAUGGACGGGUGGCCCCGGGGCACGGCUGGAGCUGGCGAGGGGGCGUCCGUCGUGCGUCGUGAGCUGCUGCGCUUCCCUGGCUUCCCCCUCCUGCAAGCGUGCUCGCUCCGUUCCCGGCUUGGUCCACAGUGGCAGACUCCCUUUUUAUCUCCUCUUUUCCUCCCUGAGGCUCGCUGUCCCUCGCCCCUUGUUUGAGGCUGUGGGCAGCCCGAGAGCUGCGUCCGCGAAGUUGAAAGCGGAAGGGAAGCGGCUGGCCCCGCGGGCGGGGGCC
rnacentral:lncRNA from 1 species